rnacentral:rRNA from 1 species
UACAGAGGGUGCGAGCGUUAAUCGGAAUUACUGGGCGUAAAGCGCGCGUAGGUGGUUCGUUAAGUUGGAUGUGAAAUCCCCGGGCUCAACCUGGGAACUGCAUCCAAAACUACUGAGCUAGAGUACGGUAGAGGGUGGUGGAAUUUCCUGUGUAGCGGUGAAAUGCGUAGAUAUAGGAAGGAACACCAGUGGCGAAGGCGACCACCUGGACUGAUACUGACACUGAGAAGCGAAAGCAUGGGGAGCGAACAGG